rnacentral:lncRNA from 1 species
UGGAUUGAUUCUUGUUCUGUUGAUUCUGGCUUGAGUUCUUGCUGUUCCGAUCCUCUUUUCUUUUUCACAGGUUCGACAUCUUCAUUUUCGUCCCUCUUCUUCGUCUCCGAGAAAGUCUCUGCGAUCGUGCUUGAGUUUGCCGCUUUCAGUGGUGAAUUCGCACUCGAAUUGCAGAGCAACGAUUCAAUGAUGAUGAUUCCUUGAUGAAUCUCUGAGAAUCGAAGCCAUUUCAAUGGAUUCUGGUUCUGGAAAUUUCUAGGGUUUUUGGUUUGUUCUUGGUGAUUUUUCUGUUUUGAUCUAACAGAAAAGAGAGAGAAAAUUGAAAUCUGUUUUUGGUGAUGUGUCAAUGAUUGUGUGGAUCUGUGCAGAAUAAUGCUAUUUAUAGACUGC